rnacentral:piRNA from 1 species
UAAAAAUACAUCGGAAUCCAA